GUGCGUGUGGGUUAAAGUGCCCCAGCAUGUUCCAUGCUGAUCUGAUAAUGAGCGAGCAGGGUCAAUAGGAUGUUAACGGCCCCGUGGGAACGGCAAGUGGUGGAUGGGCGGAGGAAGGACGAGGGCCUCGGGACAGCGAGCUGUGUUCGAACUGAUCACCGUACGUGGGAAAAGGUCUCGCGGCCUCAAUCAUGUGCCAGCAGCAGCAACAGUAGAGUCAACGAGUGUUGAAUGGGAAAGAGGACACCUUACUCACUGCGAGGGCAUGAUAUCAAUUUGCAAAAGCAGCAGCACGUCAAGUCUGGACCAUUUGAUGCUCGAGCACAGCAGAGAAACCCAACACGAAGCUGUUGAACUAAAUAACACUGACAUACCUGGAUGGGGACUGUAGUAUCAACUGUCUGUGCGUCAGUGGCCCACAAGCUAUUUCUCAACACCUCAUGAUGACCUCAGUCAAAUACAAUUUUGCUUUCCUGGGGGUGAAAAUUCAACAUAUCGUGCUGAUUACUUCUCAGACAAGAAAAUAUUGAAAAUCCAGAGAGACGGACGGCGGCGUUGUACGAGAAUUGUCUAUCAGGCGCAGUUUAAUCUCUCUGACACACUUCAAGGACAAAAGCAGAAUAUUUACCGAGAUGACUGAGAUGGCUGUUUAGCAUGUCUGCCAUAAUCCAGUCAUAAUCACUCUUGUCUGUUUAUUUUGCACAGAGGUCAAGCGCUUUUUUUUCCCCUCGGCAUCCACGCUUUGUUGCACCAAUGAAGACAGUUUCACUCGUUAAUGAAUAAUCUACUCAUCAUCAGUCCAUUGCUGUGUCUGAACCCAAAAAAAAAAAAGCAAUGUCAUUGUGUUUUAUGUUCAUUAAGUUCUUUCGCUAACCUUGUCAUAAUUCAUUUUGAGGCACCGAAUCUGGGUCUUUAACUAAAUACGCUGUAUUUUUAAAUAUUUGUCGUGAAACUCAUUUAGGUUUCACCUGUCACUUGUGUUUUGCAGUGUCAUAUGGCCGAAGAGGAACCUUCUCUGCAGUUUGUGCGGAAUGUCACAACUGUCCCAUACUGAUUUCAGUUCAAAGGUUACAGUAUGGUGUGACUUCCAAAUUCCCUUUGCUACUUGCACCUGCCUCCUCCCAGAGAGCCAGGCCUAAACCUUGGGGGUGCCUGAACUGGGGAGACAAAGGUCAAAGGUUAAUGUCUGCUGACACUCUGGUUCUCUUCCUUGGAGACAAUCAGGCGUCUGAAUCUAAACUCACGUCUGUUUGCACUGCUGGGCCAAUGGAGAGCAAACCUUUGACCCCCGCAUUCACAUGUUUUCCAUUCGGAUUUUUGUUGACGUUCGUAAAUGUUCAAUAGAAAACAGUAGAAGUGUAUUGUAUUAUUUUUCACUAAUAAUACUCGCCACUUCUUUCGCGCUAACGUCUGUGCCAGGAUGCUUUCCUGCGCUUACCAGUUCCAUCAACACAGCUCCUUAUUAUUACUAUUAUUAUUAUUGCCCUUGUAAGCUAUGUCAGCUUUACAUUUUUUGUAAAGCAAAAUCUAGGUUAGGAUGUAACCUCAUGUUUGUUGUCGGGGUUUUUGGUGUUGAAAAUAAUCUUUCCAUUCUUUUGCUGCCCGCGCUUUUGACAAGAUUUAAAAUGCCAGAAGAGCUGAAUUCCCAUUAACCUUCUAGUAAUGACACACAUUUGAGUAAAUGUCUUUUGUUGCUCACAGCCACAAUUGUUAGCAAUGAGCCAAAGUUUGCAAGCAGCCGGUUAACAACGGUGCACAAUCCGCUAUUCCUCUGUCCCUGACAGAAUGUGUUAAAUCACAAACAUAAAUAAAAUCAUAGUGAAAUGUU